GUGGGGAAUAUUGGACAAUGGGCGCAAGCCUGAUCCAGCAAUGCCGCGUGCAGGAAGAAGGCCUUCGGGUUGUAAACUGCUUUUGUACGGAACGAAACGGUCCUGGUUAAUACCUGGGGCUAAUGACGGUACCGUAAGAAUAAGCACCGGCUAACUACGUGCCAGCAGCCGCGGUAAUACGUAGGGUGCAAGCGUUAAUCGGAAUUACUGGGCGUAAAGCGUGCGCAGGCGGUUUUGUAAGACAGGCGUGAAAUCCCCGGGCUCAACCUGGGAAUUGCGCUUGUGACUGCAAGGCUGGAGUGCGGCAGAGGGGGAUGGAAUUCCGCGUGUAGCAGUGAAAUGCGUAGAUAUGCGGAGGAACACCGAUGGCGAAGGCAAUCCCCUGGGCCUGCACUGACGCUCAUGCACGAAAGCGUGGGGAGCAAACAGGAUUAGAAACCCGUGUAGUCC
rnacentral:rRNA from 1 species